AGCUGUAAACUGGAGACACUGCAUGUGGACCAUGGAGAGGAGUGCAGGAAUAAACCAAGACUGUGGAAGUAUGCCUGUCAACUUACAUUGGACCCCAACACAGCACACAAAAACCUGUCUCUGUCUGAGGGAGACAGAAAGGUGACAGCGGUGCCAGAGGAGCAACCGUACCGUAAUCAUCCAAAGAGAUUUAAAGACAUAACCCAGGUGUUGUGCAGAGAGGGUCUCUCAGAGAACCGCUUUUACUGGGAGGUGGAGUGGAGCGGAGUGGUUGGCAU